UACGAGCGGCCCAAACGUUAUUCGGAAUUACUGGGCGUAAAGCGUGCGCAGGCGGUCUCUUAAGACAGGUGUGAAAUCCCCGGGCUUAACCUGGGAACUGCGCUUGUAACUGAGAGGCUUGAGUGUGCCAGAGGGGGGUGGAAUUCCACGUGUAGCAGUGAAAUGCGUAGAUAUCCGGAGGAACACCAGUGGCGAAAGCGGCCACCUGGACUGCACCUGACGCUGACACGCGAAAGCUAGGGGAGCGAACGGG
rnacentral:rRNA from 1 species